rnacentral:lncRNA from 1 species
AUAUUUCAACGAGAAUAAGAGCAACAAAAUUGUUGAUGUCAAAAAGUUUGGACUAUGACUUUAUAGAGACUCUUCAUUUGACUUUUGAUGUGUAGUGAUCCUGAAAGCCUGGAUGAUGUGUUAAUACAUUUACAUUGGGAAAAAUGUAAAAAGAUUUCUUAUGAAUCAAUGUCUUUCUUGAUUUUUUUUUUAUCUCAGGUACUGUAAGAGGAUGGUGGAGUGUAUAAAUAAAUCAGAACUGCUAUUUUUCGGAUGGAAAUGACAAGUAUGUGCUUGCAUAGUGCCAAAAUAUGAAAAUAAUAACAUGAAAAGAGGAAAAAAAACUGGAAAAUCUACAAAGUUACAACUAGGAGCCAUGUUCAAGAUUUGAGGAAACAUUCUUCCCUCAAUACUUUUGUAUUAAUCUUCUAUUGCUUCCUUAACAAAUCUCCACAACCUUAUCGACUUAAGUUUUUACCUCACAGGUGGUGGCACAACAAGGGCCUGGCCAUGUCUUCUACUACACAU